AGCUACAGGAUGACAUGAUGAAGGCUGGUACAAGUGCUUUAGUGGCAACUAUAAGACGUGCACUGAAUAAUCAAGGACUUUAUGGCCGGACCCCAAGACGCACUCCACUCUUGACCUCAAGGAACAUCAGGAGUCGACUAGAAUAUGCCAGGAGGAAUUUGGAUAAAACUACAGAGUUCUGGGAGACAGUUCUAUGGACUGACAAAACCAAACUGGAACUUUUUGGACAUAUGGACCAGCGGUAUGUCUGCCGUGCAAAAGGAACUGGCAAUCUUGAUUGUGUACCUGGCAUCAUGGAUUCCCAGAAAUACCAGGUCAUUUUGAAGAAGAACGUGAUGCCUUCUGUUGACAAAUUAAACCAUGAUCAGUGGAUCUUGGAAGUGCGACGGUUUUCUCAGAGCUAUUAGUGGAUUUACAAGAUUUGGAGGAAAACGGAAUAACUGUAGAUACUGUGAAAUCGCACAAAGUGAAUUUCAAAGUGAUGACCCAAGUGUUUGUGGUCCACAGCGCACCCCUAAAAGUUACUAUUCUGCUGUUUGUGAUCAACAAACUAAAAACAGUCAAGGCAGCAAAGGAAUAAAGAAAUGACUGGAGAGAACAUUUCUACGCUCUGCCAUCAAUGAGGUUUUGCCUGAGCUUCCAGAGGUGACUAAAGAAAUUUUAGAAGAGACUUUGCAUUCUCUAGGCGUGGAGACUUAUGAGAAUUUCAAGUUUAUAGAGGAAGAUGAUUUGCUAUCAGCAUUGAGGCCAGUUCAAGCCUGAAAAGUCAUUGCUGCUUGGAAACUGAGAUGUCAGACUCUUGAAACCAGCAGCUCAUCUGUUGGUUCAUCACCAGGACAUCCCACACCCUUGCAGUCUUUUUCACCCAGUAGUUCACAAUCAUUCUCUUCCAGCAGCUCCCAUAGCCUUGAUAUUGACUGGGUGUAUACCUUUCUGAUACUGUGGGAGAAGUUCCCAGAGGAACUGAUGCAGGUAUUGGAGA